GACGAACGCUGGCGGCGUGCCUAAUACAUGCAAGUAGAACGCACAGUUUAUACCGUAGCUUGCUACACCAUAGACUGUGAGUUGCGAACGGGUGAGUAACGCGUAGGUAACCUGCCUGGUAGCGGGGGAUAACUAUUGGAAACGAUAGCUAAUACCGCAUAAUAUUGAUUAUUGCAUGAUAAUUGAUUGAAAGAUGCUAUUGCAUCACUACCAGAUGGACCUGCGUUGUAUUAGCUAGUAGGUGAGGUAACGGCUCACCUAGGCGACGAUACAUAGCCGACCUGAGAGGGUGAUCGGCCACACUGGGACUGAGACACGGCCCAGACUCCUACGGGAGGCAGCAGUAGGGAAUCUUCGGCAAUGGACGAAAGUCUGACCGAGCAACGCCGCGUGAGUGAAGAAGGUUUUCGGAUCGUAAAGCUCUGUUGUAAGAGAAGAACGGGUGUGAGAGUGGAAAGUUCACACUGUGACGGUAUCUUACCAGGAAGAGACGGCUAACUACGUG
rnacentral:rRNA from 1 species